rnacentral:snRNA from 1 species
GUGCUUGCUUCAGCAGCACAUACACUAAAAUUGGAACAAUAAAGAGAAGAUUAGCAUGACCCCUGCACAAGAAUGACACACAAAUUCAUGAAGCAUUCCAUAUUUUU